rnacentral:lncRNA from 1 species
UAGGCUUUAAUUUAAUUUGGGUCAUUAUUGUUGGCCCAUAAAAUAAACCCAACAAGUACAACCGUACAAUUGAGCCCAACACUAAAUUUACAUAACAUACUCUUUCUUUCAGACUUUCACUGCUGCACAUAACCCUAAAAUAUGAUAACAUUCAUAUUCCCAAAUCCCUAAUUUUUUUUCCCCUCUCUCUCUCUCUCUCUCUCUCUCUCUCUCUCUCACAGACCCUCACCCAGUCAGGCAGUCACCCUAUCUCACAUUUCUUGCAAUUAUUUUGUAUUUUGAACUAUUGGAUAUGUUGCAUCAAAUUGUAGGUAAUGUUAUAUAAAAAUUAAACUAUUGAUUAUAUAUUGUCGAGAAUUUCAAUCGGCUCGUUUAGAGCUCGAGCUCGGCUCGACUCGAAAUUAGGCUCGCUCGAGCUCCGCUCGAAUUAAUUUCAAGCCGAGUUUGAGCCUAGAUUUAGGCUCGAAAUUAAUUUCAAGCCGAAUUUGAGCUGACAUAAGCUCGCUCGAGCUCGGCUCGUUUCCACCCCUACUCCUUAUUGCUAGUCUGGACCUUCGCACCCUACGACUAAGAAUGCAAAAAGAAGAGAAAAGAGAAGGACAGAGAUUUUCGAAAAAUUAAAUACUUCACUAUUUAGAAAAAUAGGACUACAAUGCAAAACUCCUCUUGUAUCUCAAUCUUCUACUUCUACUUUGGCCUUAGCCAACCCUUAUACUUAUAAGCUCCUAAAUACAUUGAAUUUAGUAUACACUAACUCACCAUUAAGCACACAUUAAAACACACAUUAACUCACCUACUAUCACAUAGUAAUGAGCUGCCCAUGUCUCUUGGGUUUUCGCCGGCGGUUGUGGAGGCAUUAAUUGCAGCAAUUACAUAACCCUUCUUCUCAAAUAAAAGACCGCUGAUUUUGGGCAUUCUUAACAACCCGUUCCACUAGCAAAGAUAGGCCAGGAACUUGGCCGCAUUGAAAAAUCGUUGAAUCCCUGAUAUUAUGCUACAUUUUGACUGGUUUGGUUCUCAAAUAACAUGGUAGGAAAAGCGCAAGUGCAGUAUUUUUUAAAAUUUAGGCCUAAAGUGGGUAAUAGUAAUGAAAAAUGUAUGAACCAAGUCACAAAAUAUCUCGAUAAUUAAAAAGCCGUUAAAGUUUCUGAUUAUAUGGAUAUUUCGAGUAACAUAGUAUUAGAAUCAAUUCUAAAUUUCUAUCGUUCUAUAUUUAAUCUCUACCUUCAGCAGCUAAUUUUUAUUUAUAAAAAAAUCAAUCUUUUGAGUAGCAUGACCUGCUCUGAAAUUAUUUACAUUUCUUUUUUUUUUCUUUUCUCUAGACAUUCAUACAGAGAGUAGGGUGGAGGAACCCCAGCCGAUGUACGUACCGCGACGAGGCAUUCGAGGAGGAGAAGCAGGAGAUGUUCCGUGCGGGCGAGCGCAGGGCGAAGCUCCACGGCCUGCUGCCGUCGAUCGUCGCAUCCCUACGCUCGUUGGAAACCGGCGACGACGACUUUCGGGGAUUUCAUGAGGUGGACAGCCUCUUCAAAGAAGGGCUAGGUUCAAACCGGAGCUUGUUUGAUCACAUUCUCCACAAAGUUCCUUUCGUUAAAGAGAUUCAGGAGUUCGCCGAGGGAAUGCUCCGUUUUGACACUCCCCACAUCAUAGCAAGUAAGUUGAAAGAAAAAAUAUGGUUGAUGCAUGUUUUAUAAUGCCACAUACUUAAAUUUUUUUUUUUCUCACAAGUGCCUGUUUGAUCGAACUUCUUGGUUAGUUCUUUUACACUCGAAACGUAAUUGUUGAUGCGAUAAAAAGUUUUCUGCAUUUCGGGUUCAACACGAAAAAGAACUAAAAUUUAAAAGUUCUGGACUAAAAUUUGUAAGCAACUUUACUCGAACAGCAAUUCUUUAUAAGCUCCAGGAGUGAAAAUAGGUCGUCAUAGGUGUAAAAGCGAAGGAUUUCAAAAUAAUAUGUGAAAAGUUAAAUGCAAAUACACAAAUUUUAUAUAUGUAUUAUAGCCCAAUUUGAAAUGAGAAUGCGAGUUCUAAAUAUUUUGCUUUUACUAUCUAGGAAUAGUCAGUAACUUUUUUUUCUAAAAUAAGACCAUUGAAUUUCUAAAAUCUAGAAAAAACACAAGUUUGAUAGUACAAUUAAAUGUUUUGUAAUUUAGAAUUCAUAUUUCAAAAUAAGUUAUAGAUUGCACGUUUGGCCCUUAAAUUGAGGCAUGCAACACUUUGAUCUUUAAAUUAACUUUAAUUUAUUGUAAUUUUUAACUCGAACUUUCAGGAUUGUUGCGAUCAAGUCCAACAAUCCAAUUUCGUUAACUAAAUAUUGACUCACCGCUUAUGUAAAAUUGAUGAAACAUCCUAAUUCUUCGCUUAUUACUGAUCACGAAACUGCUGUAUUAUUUUCACAUUAACAAUUCAUUAAUAUUUAGUCUACUGAAUUAAGUUAUAAAUUUUAAUUUGCAAUAAUUCUAGAGUUCUAAUAAAAAAUUAUUAUAGUAAAUUAAAGUUUAACGAACAAACUUGGCAUCUCCAUGAUUGUUUGAGGACAAUAUGUGCAAUUUAUCCCAAAAAAGAAAAAGAAAAAGAAAAGUUACUGUAGUGGUUACUGUGGUACUAUGGAGUGUCUACUUGUGUCCAAGUUUCAACAUUUUAAUGGAUAAAAAUAAAAACUACAUCAUCAUGAGCUUUUCGGGUGAAUCAUUAUAAUGCAAUUUAGUAGGUGGUGACUAAUUGGUACGCUUUAUCAUUUUGUGUAGGAACAAUAAUAUCUAGGUUCAUAAUUUUAAAUAGAUCUAGUUAUUAAAGAUAACUAUUGAAUUCAACAAUAAAACUUAGUAAAAAUAAUUUUAUAGAUAAAAAAAAAAAAAAAUACUUCAAAUAUCGUACUUGUGAUUUUGUACUUUCUCACUUAGUACCUUAUGAUUUAAAGUGUAUCACUUUCGUACCUGUAGUUUUAUCUUUCUCUUUUUGUUAUUCCUUUUACUAAUUUUUUUUGUUAAAUUAGUGACAAAUUUAAAAUUAAAGAAUAUUAAAGUGAAUANUGGUUUUAUUUUUUUCUUUUUGUCACCCCUUUGUUAACUUUUCGUUAAAUCAUAUAUAAAAAAAUUUCAGAUAACUUUUUGUUAAAUCGAAUACCUGUAGUUUUAUCUUUCUCUUUUUGUUAUUCCUUUUACUAAUUUUUUUUGUUAAAUUAGUGACAAAUUUAAAAUUAAAGAAUAUUAAAGUGAAUAUUAAAUAAACUACUGGUAUUCGAUUUAACAAAAAGUUAUCUGAAAUUUUUUUAUAUAUGAUUUAACGAAAAGUUAACAAAGGGGUGACAAAAAGAAAAAAAUAAAACCACAGAGUACUAAAUUGAUAUACUUUAAACUACAGAGUACUAAAGUGAAAAUGUGCGAAAUCACAAGGGUGGAAAUUAAAGUUUACCCUAGAUAAAAUUACUUACAGGUGCUGCAAUACAAUUCUAUAAUUUUAAUAAAAUUGCUGCUGGCUAAAUUAUUAAGUUUGAUAGUAUUAGUAAAAUAGAAAAUCUCUAUAUCUAAAACUUUUAAUCUAUUUUUUGAGUUGCAAAUUAUGGAGAUGUUUAACUGCUUAAUAAUGUGAUACGACUACUCAUUUAGAUGGUCCAAAGCUCUAACCAAUUAGAUGGUCCAUAGCCUAUAUAUGUUUUACAAAUUUCAAAAGUAUUCUUUGUGGUCCAUUAGUACGAAGGAUAAGAUUACGCCAAUUCUUCGAUAGGUGUUCUUUUUGGACCAAUAAUUUUCUCGCACCAUAUUGGCGUACUUUGGAAUAAGUUUUGGCUCACUAUACUUCGAUUGUUUUAGUGGUGUUAGUCCUCAAUUAAUGUGAAAAUAUUUUAUCGAUUAUUCAUGCAACAUUGAAAUUCAGUGGUUUACAUGAUUAACCGCAUAUGGAACAAUUUCACAUUCAGAAGAUCUUUUCUCAAAAAGAAGCGGAGUUUGGAAUCUUUUAGCCAAUUUAGAUUUGAUCGUAUCGUAAGAUAUUUUUGAAUACAUUGGUGUGAGUUCCUUAAAAUGUUGUAUUUAUAUUUUGAUUACAGUUAUUUAUGAUGGGAAGAAUUUUAAUUAAUUCAUGCGCACAUUUUAAAAAUAUUAUAUUAGCCAAUUCAUUUUUAAUUUGGAAGGAGCCUUUGAUAGUUAUUAAUCGUCACCAAUUAUCACUCACGUAAGUCGUCGAAAAUUACUGUAGCCUAGGUUGUACAUGAUCCGGGAAUUGGCACGUGGCAACAGCUCAUAAGAUUACUACACCCAAUCAAUGCAUGCCAUGUCAUUAUCCAGGAUUUUCUGGGACCCACCCAUUUUAACAAAUUUUAUUUAGAUUUCUUUUAGUGUUCAUUUUAACUUUUAAAAGUUAGCAUUAAUCACCCGAGCAAGCACUUCAUUGAAAAAAAUAUAUAUUUGGAUUCAUAUUAAUGUUAUAAUAAAGAUGAGAUAAUUAUCUGUAAAUACGUUAUCGCAGAUGACAAGUUUGCAUGGAUGCGCGACGAUGAGUUCGCACGCCAAACACUCGCCGGCAUUAACCCUGUCAGUAUAGAGCGGCUCCGGGUAACUCUCCACGACUUCCAAGAGCAUAAUUUUCGUCAUUUGAAAAAAAAAUUUACCCAAAAUAUCUUCAGAUGUUACGAGUGUGCUUAACAAACUUUAGGGAUAUGAUCUAUUAAAUAUAAAAACAUAUAAAUAUUAUUCUCAAACAACUUAAACUUUGAGGGACCGUUUGGUUAGAUGUAGUUAUAAAUACAGUGUAGUUAGAGAUACAUGCAGUUAGAAAUACAACAGCUAUAACUACAUGAAUCUUAUUUAGUUGGAUGUAACAGAAAGCGCUGCAAGUAUAAAUAAUUUGUUUAGUUGCAUGCAGUUGAGAAAUAAUUUUUAAAAUUUUAUUAUUUUAUAUAUAUGAUGGUGAGAUUACCUCCAAUGUAAAAAAUAAUAAUAAUAAUUUUUGUUUAAAAAAUAUUGAGGAGGUAAGUAUAUCUUUUAUUUAAAAUUACUCUCUCCAUCUGCUGUAGUUGGAACUGUGGGCCAAUUUGGGCGUAGUUCGAACUGCUACAGUUGGGCCUCCUCCUGCAAUUCCUCCUGCAACAGUAGGAGUUAAAUAUAUCAAAUCAAACACGAAAUUUGUAUUUACAUACAGUUACAACUAUAGUGCAGUUACAACUACAUGCAACCAAACGGUCCCUUAGAGCACAACGGUUGAUUAACAUAGUAUCAAACAUGAGGAAAGUGUUAAAUAUAAAAAUAUAUAAAUAUUGUUAUCUAACAAUUUAACCUUUUAGUCUAGAGUGGUAACUUAAAGUACAGCGAUUGUUUCACAUGAUCGCCUUUUCAGGUGUUCCCACCUGUUAGCAAACUUGAUCCGGCUACCUAUGGGCCUCCUGAAUCUGCCAUCAGAGAAGAACACAUCAUCGGCCAUUUAGAGGGCAUGUCAAUUCAAAAGGUGAUUAUUCUAUUUAUUGAAAAUUUUAAUUUUUAUUAUCUAAUUUUUAUUUCUAUAUAUGUUUUUUUUUUUUCGUAUAUUCAUUUUCUUUUAAUACCGUGGCAGGCGUUGGAGGAGAACAAAUUAUACAUUUUGGAUUACCACGACACCUACCUUCCUUUCAUCGACCAAAUCAACGCGCAAGACGGCCGAAAGGCCUACGCAACUCGCACGCUAUUCUACCUGACGGAUCUCGGGACCCUGAAGCCGAUAGCGAUCGAGCUCAGCCUCCCUCCGAUGACCAAGAACUGCCCUCGCGCGAAGCGCGUCCUCACGCCGCCCGCCGACGCCACCACCAGCUGGUUGUGGCAGCUGGCCAAGGCCCAUGUUUGCGCCAACGACGCGGGCGUCCACCAACUCAUCAAUCAUUGGUAAAUGAAAUAUAAUAGGACAUACUCUUUCUGAUGUCAUGUCACUUUAAAGAUCAAGUACGAUGGAUGGAACCGUCACAGAUUUGAAAUCUUUUUUUUUUUUUUCUUUCUUUUUUUAUUUAUGAUCGAAUGUUUGUAACCGAGUUUGAAAUAUUUGGGGUACAUAGGUUGAGGACGCACGCGUGCGUGGAGCCGUUCAUAAUAGCUGCGCAUCGGCAGUUAAGCGCGAUGCACCAGCUGCUGAAGCCUCACAUGAGGUACACCCUGCAGAUCAACGCCCUCGCGCGCCAGACCCUCGUCAACGCCGGCGGAGUCGUCGAGUCCGGCUUCACCCCCGGAAAGUUCUGCAUGGAGAUGAGCGCCGCCGCGUACCGGGAUCACUGGCGCUUCGACCAGGAGGGCCUCCCCGCCGAUCUUAUCAGAAGGUAUUGUUAUUGUUGUUAUGGUUAUUGGUCUUGUUGUUGUUAAUAUUAUUAUUUAUUAUUAGCUAACUAAAGUUAUGUUUUAGAUUAAUAAAUUUGACUCGAAAUUUUAAUUUUAAAUUUUAAACUUCAAAUUUUUAAAAUAACUUAAAUUAUGUAAAAUUUUUUAUAAAUAUUUAUUUUUUUGACUUUUCCUUUCUAACUGUCAAAAAUUUAUAUUUUUCUCUCUCAAUAUUUUCUGUUGUUGCAUUUAGUCCCCUUCCCCGUCGCGGUUCUAUCAACUAUUUCAUCAAUUUCUUAUAAUUUAUACCGAAAGUACCCUUCAAAAUAAUAAAAAUAAAUUAUUUUUUUUCUUAUAAAAGAAGUGUGGAUAAUUUGGUUAUUUUGCGCUUUCUACUGACGUCGUACCCUCUGAAAAUUUUUCUUAAAUUUCAAUGAGCCAAAAUAUAGAAUUUUAAAAGUCAGAAAGAAAAGUGAGAAAACGAAUAUUUACAUGGAGAUUUAAUCUCCAGUAAUUUAGCCUUUUGUUGUUUUUGAUAACAUUAAAAAAGAAAAAAGCAGCUAAAGAUUUUUUGAAAAAGGAAUUAAUGUAUGUUAACAAGUGUAGGGGGAUGGCGGUGGAGGACCCGCGGGAGGCGAGCGGGGUGCGGCUGGUGAUCGAGGACUAUCCGUACGCGGCGGACGGGCUGCUGCUGUGGUCGGCGAUGGAGCGGUGGGUGCGCACCUACGUCGCCGCCUACUACCCCACCCCGCACCGCCUGCGCGCCGACGCCGAGCUGCAGCGCUGGUACGCCGAGGCCCUGCGCUCCGGCCACCCCGACAAGCGCCACGCCCCCGGCUGGCCCCCGCUCGCCGCGGUGGCGGACACGCUCUCGACCAACUCUGGCCACGAGGAGUACCUCAUCGAGGAGCUCCGCGGGGACUGGACCGGGGACGCAGAGAUGGCGCGUGCGGAGUUGGGGUUCACGGCGGAGGUGCGACGCGCGGGGGAGGAGAUCGCACGGUGGAACGCCGACCCGGCGCGGCGCAACCGGUGCGGGGCCGGGGUGCCGCCCUACGAGCUCAUGGCGCCCACCUCCGGCCCCGGGGUCACCUACCGCGGCGUCCCUAAUAGCAUCGCCAUUUAUUUUUAAUUUUAAUUUUAAUUUUAAUUAUUAUUACUUUACUUUUAUAAAUUUCUUUCUUUUUUUUUUCCUUGAUACUGUUGCAAAUAGAAAAUGAGAGAUGGCAAUCGCUUCUCUUCGUAAGAGAUCCCCACAUGGCUCAGCAACGCGGCUGUGCUCCUUACCCCCGCCCGCCUGGAUCUUCGGUUCAACUCCCUCUCUGGCCCCAUUCCCUUCACCUUCUCUGUUGCAGACCUCAGAUUUCGAUUGCAACGGCAAUAAUGUUUUGUCAUCGCUUCUAUCUCCAUCAGACUCAUGCAAAAAAUGAGUGGCAGGUGUGUAGCAUCAUACGUUCAUUUUUAUGUUAUUCUCCUGCAAUUCUUAUACAAAAUCCNUUAUGAGAAGUAUGCUUUCCAAAUCACGAAGAUUUUCGAGCUUUUAAUCUGUUUUUGAUUAUAGGCCAUCUGAUUCAGCUAUUUGUGUAAAGAAACUAAUAGCCUCAUAAUAAAUCGUUGAAAAUAAAAAUCUCAUAAAAAAUAAUAAUAGUGAACUUAAACUUCAAAUCGGAGACUAUUGAUCUUGCCCUCGAUGUUAAAUAAAAAUUUCUAUUAAAAUUUUUAGGACCUUAGAUCAAUUUGUAAAUAACGGCGAAAAAUUUAAAUAAUUUGGUUUCUAAGUAAUUUUAAUAGUAUAAAGCGUGUCUAACGGAAUAUCUAGCCGAAUCGGAUGUUUUAUCAUCGAGCAUAAUUUGAAAAUAUGAAAGCCUUCGCACUUUGAAAAGUAUACAAGCUGAACUCGAUUAUAUGGUGUAUGAAUCAUUCAAAAUGUAGCCUUAAAAUGCAUCAGAAGAGAAACAGCGGACGCUUUUGAGCUCCACAACUGCUAAAUAGUUCGCCUCAAAAUUCGUACAAAAAGCUCCAAAAACGUUUCACAAACUGAUGAGUUUGAAUGAUUAAAUUUAUUCAGUAACAUUGUGAUCCGUAGACAACCGUCGAUAAAAUACGUUGCCUAAAUAAGUUUGUUGAGAGUCUGAAACAUUUGUGAGUGCAGCAGUACUUAUUUUUCAUCAUAGAUCUUCGCACAAGUCGCUCGGUAAAUUGGACGAUACGACAUUUUCUGGAACAAUUCCACAAUAUAAUGAAGCAUGAAUGCAUGGUGUUUUGGAAACUGGUUGCAGAAUAGGGUAGUACAAAAUAAACUACUAGAGGAUACAUAUGGAAAAAUUCUAAUUAGUACAAUGUAGUGCUAUAAUACAGUUGCAUAAAUGCAACUCAAAAAUAAGAACAAAAUUUAUAUCUGAGAAACAACAUCUUUCAUCAUCUCAUGCCCUGCUACGUUCCAAUGUUGCUCACCAUCUAUCCUUUACAACGGCAAAUAUACAAUUUCUCUUGUCAUAUAUCAAUUGAAAAAUAAAAAUAAAAAUAAAAAUAAAAAUAAAAAUAAAACAAAUAAAGCAAAGAUGCAAACGAAUACAAAUUAGAAGGUCGGUCGUAUGAGAUAAAUGUGUCCCGCCUGCACGAGCUCCCCCCUAAAAAUUCGCCAAAGUCAUUCACCAGAGUAAAAUUUAGCAAACACGGCUCAACGUCGAGUCAGUCUUUCAGUGUUCAUUUUUCAAAAUUGAAAUUCAACUUCCGUUCGAGACGGAUAAAGUAUAAAUGCAAGGGGGGGAAAAAACAAGGAGAGACUUGUGUUCUGCAGCGCUUCACUUCUUCAUUGUUAAAGACCCACAUACUUUCAGUCUCUGCAUAGAAAAGAGAGAUUGUAACACGGAAGAUCUUUGAUGAUUCGAAAUAAGAGUCUGAUAAACAUUUCAAACAUCGGAAGGAAAGGAUAAAUAUACCCACACCUCUUGAACUUCCAUGCUUUUAUAGGCAGACCUCUAAUUCAAAAUUUUCGAAACCUGCGACCUCAAAUUCAUGUACUAGUAUAAUCUACACUUUCACCCAAAACAAAAUUAGUUUCCAAACGGUUUCUCGCAGUGCGUCUAACAUGUGUAUCUCAGUGACCAAGGAUUAAACCCCAUUUUGAGCAAAGCGCUAACAAAGUCCUAAUUUGUUCUGUUACUGCAUGAUGAAAGGUGUUUCAUUAUUCAUAUUUAAACACAUGAAAGACAAGCAGCAAGAAAGCUCUUAGAAACUAACAUUGUUCAAUUGCACCAUUUCAUGAAAUUUAAGAGGCUGAUAUAAAAAAUUAAUGAGUUUAGGGAAUAUGCCAGUAAAAACUUAGUUAAAUGGGAUUAUCCAUAGACAUUAAAAGGAAAAUUUAGAUUAAAGUGAUUUUUGAACUACGGAGAUUACCAAAUUGCUUCACAACUUUAAGUUGAUCCUCUCAGACCAUUUAAAUAUAUCCGAAUAAACUUGAUCACCACCUAGGUCCUCUCCGGUGGCUCCUGCUGCCACUCGAAUGAUAUCCUCAAUCAAAGCAAAGUUGCCCAUUAUGUCGACAUGGGCGCCACUCUGUGUCCCCCGGCCCUCCAAGAGAUUAGCAGGGGGUGCAUGAUCAUACUCCCUAAUAUAUGUUUUGAUGCCAGAAGGAUUGAAGCGGGUUCUUCCCCGCCACGCUUUUGCACACAUGAAGCCUGAACUUAGAACAGGCACAGUCUCAUCCCCAUUGACCAAGUAAACACCGCCUUGUAAACAGCUGCCGUCGUGUCCACCCUCCGCUGAGGUAUCAAUCUGAAAGGGAAUGGAGCACUCGGUAGAUGGGGAUAACUUAUAGACAUAUGAUCUCUCAGUAAGGAUGCCAACUCCAUACAUUGAGAAUAUCUCCAUAUCAGGGGCAUUUGGUAACCUUGUGAGGAAAAUGGGGAAAAAAAAAAAAGUGAGAAAAGAAACUUCAAAUUUGUAAGCGUUUUCUCAGCAUGCAUUCUAUGUUCACAAGCAGAGAGAACUCGUAGAAUAUGACAAAACAAUCUGCUCAUUAAGUCUAAAAAAUUCAGAUAUAAAGGACAGAUAUUGCACUCUAUUGUAAGACCUAUUGAAAGACCACAGAGCAUGCCAGUUUGCAACUAUUUAGUCAGAUGUAACCUUACAUUCCAUAUGCUAUAAUACCUAGACAAGUUAGCAUGUUGAUCUACACUAAAUGCCAUGUAACUUAAAAUGGAGUCCGGCUACUAUACUCUUAUGAGUACAAUCGCCCUCGUACUCAUAAGUUGUUUUCGAUGAUAGAGAUUCCGAAUCGACGAUCCACACCGUUAAACGUUAUUUAGAGCAUUUAAAACAUCUAGAAAUCAAAUUUUAUAAAUUUUCGACAUCAUUUACCUUAUGAUCAAAAGGUCACAAAAUUGAUAAUUUUUAACGGCCGAUAUGAGAUAUUUGCUAGUUUAACGGUGUAAAAGAAUCGAAAUCGGUUGAAUUUUUUAUAGAAAAUUCUAUUCACUACAUAGAUUAAGAUCAAUAACUCCGAUCUUAAAUUGAAGGAUCCGAUCAUUCAUUUUUAAGAUAUCGUUCGAUUUUGACCGUUCAUUUUAUACCUGCUUGAUGAACUUUAUUAUGAUUUCGAAAAAUUAACAAAUUUAUUUUCUAGAAGUUUCAAAUACUCUAGAUCAUAUUUAACGGAGUGGAUCGUCGAUUUGGAAGCUCCAGUAUUGAAAACAACUUAUGAGUAUGAAGGGCUCUAUACUCAUAAGAGUAUAGUAGCUCUAGCCCUCAAAAUGAAUGCGUUGGCAAAAUAGCUGCUGAAAAGGAUAACAUAGAGAUUUUCCGCUCAACAAGCCGAUAGGGAUUUUGCAGUUGACAAGCUGACUUAUCUUACAGACUGACCUUUUUCUCAAUGAACACCUAGGAACCAGGGCAAAUGCAUGAGCACUAGUUAGGCAUCCAUUAGAAGGUUUCCAACAAGGACAGUCUUCGGAUGUUGAAAAUCAAGACCGCCAUAGCCUGCAGUCUUGAGGUUUAUUACAACCAAUUUGAACCCCCAGAUCCUAAAACAAUUCAAAAAUAACCUAAAAAGCCAAGCAAUUUUCCCUUUUCUCCACUAUUUCCUUUUCCUAAAAUUUGAUAGCCUAGGAAAAUCAUAAAUCAUACCAUUUUUUAAUUAAUAAUGUAGUAAGUUCUAUAUUAGAUAACAAUAGUAUCAGAAUCCAUGCAAAGUAUCAGAAUCAAGUUUUAUUCAAGAGGCAAAAGAAACUCCACAAAAGAAAUUAUGUUGCGAAAAUUCAAACUAGAUUAGUCGGGAGUAUAAGUAUAAACUCUCACUUUGUUUCUAGGGGAUUUGACCAAUAUUUGUAGUGGUUAUACUUUGGGUCAUCCAGAUUAUCAGCAAUACCAUAUGAGAAGUGAGCACUUCCACGCUGCAUCAUCUUCGGGGCAACAAAAUGAAGAAGAUCCAGAAUGGAAUCAGUUGUAUACACUUUGUAAUCAGCUACCGCUUUAAUUCCGCCCCAUCCCAAUUCAUGGUGCUCUGUCCAGACAUCUCGGCAUGAUGCAUUUGAAUGAGCAAGAUUGUUACCUUUGACAGCAUCCUGAAUGAGAGGGGGGGGAAAAAAGAUUAGACAGAAUAGUAUGGUAUUUGAAAAAUUAAUAUAGCACAUUUAAAGAUAUCAAGUAUCUAUUUGAAAAAUUAAUAUAGCACAUUUAAAGAUAUCAAGUAUCAAAUCAAUGCCAAUUUCUAAAAAGAUAUCUAUUCUAUUCAACAAAUGUCUGCGAGUAUACUUUCAGAACAACCAUCAUGUCCAAAUAAAGGUAUCCCAAGCCUCUCGGAUCAGUUCUUUUAUAUGGUAUGGACAAACAGUAGUUCUUAAGGCAUGAAAGACAAUUAUAACAUGUGAAUAUUCAUAUUAUAAACAAACGAACAAUCUUGCCAGGAUCUCACCAAGUGUACCAAAAAUCAACUUAAAAGACAAGCAUCCCGCAGAAAGAGUUAGAAAUUUAUCACCAGUCCAAUAUAAAUCAGAUAUGGUAGCUAACAUCAAUAAAACUAAAAAUUCAAAGUGGUUAUCAAUAGAGUUGAUUAUGUGGAUUAAGCUAGCAGCAUUCCUAGAAAAAAUCAAUAUGUCAACUCAGACUGACUUAUCAGCAUCAAACUCGGAAGAUUGACACUUCUUUUCAUAGACUUCAGAGCUAUUUCAAUGUGAUACAUCAAGUGACUUCAAAACAUGGUGUAAUAAAACCUAACAAAGCUUUUAACCUUAUGUCCAGAAGUAUCAAAAUCUGUUAUGUUUUUUAAAUUAGGCUUAAAAAUAUUAUCAUAAUAAAUUAUCUAGAUUCUCGAUAAGAAUGUCCAGCUAUAUAAUCAUGUAACUCCUAACUAGCAACAUCUAUUUUUUGCUCAUUUGAUACAAAGCUGAGAGACCUUGAGAGGAUACACAUCCAAACCCACUAUAUCCUACAAUAUCAUAUUAUACAGCAUGGCAUAUAAUGACAAAAUUUAGUCUGAGCAGCUAGAAAAGAGAACGAGGGUAGAAAAACUAAUGUACAAUAAGUCUUCAUAUUGCAAUUUUCUUUGAAAUAAAUAAAGUUAAUACUUACCCGAAAAUCAAUGCGCUCUAUCGUAGAGGCAGGUGCCUCUGCUACAUCCUUCCCGAAAGAAAUAAUUCUUCCAUAGUUAACUUUUUGCGAGUGAAAAUCUGCCUUAUCAGUGUCAACAUCCUUAGAAACACGAGAGUCAUUAUUCUUUUGCUUCUUGGAGCUACAGACAUAGCCCUCUUCUGGAGACCAAUCUAGUCCACCCCAUAUAGUAUCACCGCCUUUAGGAAUCAUUGACAUAGUAGAGUCCCAUGUACGAGUCAUACGCAUGACAUGUCGCAAUGUCUGAAGACCAAGAAAGUCUGAAUCUAACACCCCAGGUGCAAUAGCCCUAUACAUGGAGAGAAAAUGAUGAUACUUUCUUCUUUUCCACCAAACUAACAUACCAAACUUUUACUGGAAAGAGCAACAAACAAUUAGAAGAAAGACUCGUCACUAGACAAAUGACGUUACCCAAGUAGAUGAGAAGAAACAAAUAUGUUUUAACACCACUUAACUAAUUUAACGCCACUUAAACAAGCUUUACAACACACAUCUUACAGGGGGGAAACACGUAUAAUCUCUUGAAAAGAGGUGAGUACUCGUACUUUUUAAAUAAGAGAGAAUAAACAAAAUGUUGUACAUGCUAAGGUCCAAACUUGCUGUUCAUGUCAACCAUGGACAUUGGUACUUGACGUUGAGAAGAUUCAGUCAGAAGUAAGAAAAAUCCAACCAGACUAAUUGCUGACUGAGCAAAAGCAAGUACAAGGACUUGCCAUAUGAGCACAAAAUGUCAAAUGGCUGGAAGCGACAUGCAAACUAGGAGAACCUCUAUGAGGAUUCUCAUACAAGCCAAAGAACAGAGAUAUUGUUCUCAUUUAGGAGGCAACCUUCAUCGCUGUGACGACAAGCCAACAAGCUAAAAUAUAAUCUAGUGCAAAGAAUACAUCUUUCAAGUCCAAUAAAAUGAUGAAUUUAAGGCACCUUCAGAUACAAGUAACUAAUAGUAUGUUAACGAUAGAAACAUUUCAUUAGGAAAGGUUAAGCUGAAAGGAAAAAUUUGACGCUGUGUCCACAUUAACUUUCCUCAUGUUACUAGUUAUCCACCGGAAGUAGGAAAAAAGAAAAAUAGAACUGCUGAAGAUGCAGAAGUGACGCGACGUAGUAAUAUAUUGUCAAGGCAACGAUUAUAACUAGUAAUCUUGUUGUUCCAAAUAUUCAUAUAAGAUUUUGUUUUUAGCUGGAAAUAAAUAACUACAUAAGGCUAAUAUAGAAUGUCAUUUAGUAUAGCCAUCCCUAAGUGUACCAUUCACCACGUACCAGUACAUAUUAGUGCAGAAAUUGUAUAUUUUAAAGCUACAAUUUACAUAACAUUUACUAUAUGAUAUAUUUGAUCCUUCAAGACAGAAAAGAUAAACGUGAGCAGAAAGGAAAAAAAGAAAACUUGUGUUACCCUCUAGGAGAGCGUACCUAUAAUUAAAUGGACGAUACAUCAAGAACAUUCGAGAAAAAGGAUACUUUCUAUAUUCACUAAAACAAUCCACCUUCAGAAGAUUAUCAAUAAUAAAUCAGCAGCCAGAACAAUCUUCCUAUCUUCAGUAGUCGCAUUAGCAAAUAGACAAAUAGGCCAAAACCUUUUUUUUCUCCCUUUCUAUGCAAGGACCAAAGUAUUUACAUUUCCAUUUAGAGAAAUCGCCAAACAACUUAUUAAACAGAAUAGAAACGAACUUGAAUUCUUGCAGUUUUUCAUUGAAUCGCCUCUUUAUUGGGUAGUCUACAUUUGCUUCAUUCUGUUUUUUAUGCGGUACUAGGGGUGUAAAACGGGUCGGGUGGCCCAUGGGCCGGCCCGGCAGAUCUAGCUGGCCCGCAGGCAUACCGGGCACGGCCUGCAACCACAGGGUAGGAUUCAACCCGGUGCGGCCCAAACCAUUUAGGACCGGGCCUAAGGGCUGGCCCAGCCUGUUUAUUCUUUUUUUUACUUAUUUUUUCUAUUGUUUUUAGUUUUUUAAAUUUAUUCUUUCAAAUAUCAAUUUAAAAUAAUCAAGUAUUAAUUUAAAAUAAUCAAAUUUUAAAUAUUUAUUUAAUAAAAAAUAUAUAUUUUUUAUAAAAUUAAUAGUAAUUUUUUUAAAAUAAAAUUUAAAUAUAAAAAUUGUAAAAAGGGUCAGCCAGAGGGCCGGCACAGCCCGUGCAGUUCGAGCUGUUGACCGUGCUAGGCCACGGUCCAAUGCCCGACCCGGAUUUGAAUCCAAGCUGGGUGGGGCCACCUUGUGGCCCGGAUUGGCCCGAAAAAUUCUAGGCCUUGCCAGCCAGCACGGCCCAGAUUACACCCAUAUGCGAUACCCAAUGCUAUGUUAUGGUCACACUCAAUGCUACCUAUAAUUAACUUAUUUGAUACCAUCUAACUUAAUUCUGUAACCAAAUUCCUACUAUAUCUAGAUAACAGCAGUCAAAGCAGAAUAUUAGCCUUGAUGAAUAAUGCAUUAAACUGAAGAUAGAUUUCAAGAGAAUUGGUAUUCCUUAAUUAUAAGUGUCAAACAGAAGUAGAUAUUUAGCUAUAUGCUCAAUUAGUGAAAUUCCAAUGUUAAUCAAGAUAGCAAUGCUAGUAUAGAGAUAAUAAAGUGUUUUGAAGUAUCACACAUCAUAGACUAACAUUUAAGUUACAAAGCUAUGAUUUGUACCUUAGGUUACCGUUUGGUUCGAGAACAAGUUAUUUUUGUUUAUUCUUGGGAUAGGUAUAACUUCUGGGAUAGGUAGAAAUUAAUUCAAUUUUGUGUUUGGACGAGAAUCGAGAUAUUUAGAGGAAUAAGAAAAAUUAUGUUUGGUUGAUUGGGUUGGAAUAGUAGGGAUAAGAGUAAUUAUGAUUGAAAAUAAAAUUAAUUUAUCUAAAUAAUAAGCAUCUAGGUAUUAGUAAGAUAAUAUUUUAAUAAGUUAAUAAAUAAAUUAAUCAAAAUUACUUUAUAAAUUAAUUAAAAUUACUAUAUAAGAUGACAAAGAUGACAUUAAUUAGCAAAUAACUAUAAAAAAUAAGCCAAUAUGUUAAUAUUAAUUAAUUAUUUAAUCAUUUAUAUUUUUAGUUAAUAUAUUAAUUAUAUAAAUUAAAAUACUAAUUAUUUAAAUAAUAUAAAUAUUAGUAAAUAAUUGAAUAUAUGGCUAACUAUUUAAUUAGAUAAAUAAUAAUAAAUUAUAAAUAAAUUAUUAUUUAAAUAUUUAUUAAUCUAAUAAGUUAAAUAAUUAAUUAGUUAAUUACAAAAAAAAUUAAUUUCAUUAAUUAAUUAUAAUUUAUAAUUAUUUAUAACUUAAUUAGUAAAGGAAUAAGGUAGAGAAUAGCUUGUUCCACCCAAUAGGUGGAACUAUCUUCCCUCUUAACGGGUUAUUCCGGAAUAACCCAUUAAGAGGAGAAUAGUAGUUCUUGGCAAUUUUUAACACCGUUUGGAAGAAUAAGAGGAAUAAAUUCCUUAUUCUUCCUUUAUUCUUUGAACCAAACAUAGCUGUCAUUUGGUUGCAAGGAAAACAUUUUUGGAAAGUUUUUUCCUAAUUUCAAGGAAAAUUAGUGUUUUCGUUUUCCGAAUUAUUUUUUAGGAAAACGAAAAUACUAGUUUUCCAUAAAACUUCGAAAAAAACUUUCCAAAUAAGCUAGUUUCCCUUGGAACCAAACAGGCAAAAAACUGGAAAAAAGAUUUUUCAUAGAAAACUUUUUUCUUGAAAACCUUUUUCCAUACUUUUCGGAGGAACCAAACAGCCCCUAAUAGUUUCACGGAAACAUAAGGAUAUCAACUAGAGCAAAAGGAUAAGUACUUAGGAUCGCAUAUACCCAAGCAUUUUUACAAUUAUUACCUAGCAACAGCAACAUCUUUGGCUUCAGCCGAGAAAAGACCAGCAACAGCCUUUGGAACACCUAAGAAGGGGCCACCAAUAUUCAUUACAGCUUUGAUAUGUUUUGAACACCAGUUUGGACCGCCGCCGCCACCCGUAGGAGCAGGUGCUUCAACCCAUUUCAUAAAAUGCAAAAAGUACAAAACUCCCAUGGAAUGCGGGAUAACCACCACUUUAUUGCCACCAUUUGUUGAUACCAUGAGUUCUAUGUUACUCUUUAUUCUGCUUAGGGUCUGAUCACGGACCUGUUUGCAUUUGCUCGUGCAAGCACAUGACGUAUGUCAAAAACCUUGGGAAGGAAUUAAUAAACUGCUACAAAAGGAGAAUGCAUACAAAUGGAGAAUGCAAAACUGAGCAAGAAAAUACACUUAAAGGAGAAAAUUAGGUGGUGUUUGGGUGCAAGUAUUUGCAAUAACACUGCAAUUAUAAGUACAUGCAAAUCCACAACCACCAUUUGGUUUCAUGCAUUUGAAUCCAACUGCUGCAAUUGGAACUGCACAAAGAGGUUCAAAUGCAGCAUUUGAAACAAUGCCAAAAUUGGCCACAUUUCCAACUGCAACAGUUAGAGAGAGUGACAUUAAACAAAGUAAGCUUAUCUCCCUAAUAAUCUUCCAAACAUAAAAUGAUUUUUUUAUAUAUAGAAGGUAAUCUCACCAUACCAUAUAUAAAGUGAUAAAAUUUUGUAAAUGCAUUUGUCAACCAUACAUAACCAAACAAAAUAUUUAUAGUUGCUGCACUUUCUAUUGCAUCCAACCAAACAAGAUGUAUAAUUAUAAUAGUUGCAUUGUCAAGAGCAUGCAUUUUGAACUACACCGCACUGACAAUUACUUCCAACCAAACAACCCCUUAGAUGUGACUGAACGAAAUGAAAGGGUACCAAUCAGGUAUUUAGAAAGUUCAAGCUACCUCAGUGUUUUGAAAAGAUAAUCUCCAGUCAUAUGCAGCCAUAUACAUUGUCUUCUCUUCAUAUCCAAUGCGAGCCAAAUUAGCAAUCAGCACUGCCCAGACAAAGUAUCCUGGAGCAAAAUAAUCUGCCGCAACAAGCCCUGUAACAGGCCUAACUCUUAUACCUGGAGGAUCCAGCCCAGUUUCAUUGUCCAAAGACAUAUGUUCAACCCAGCAUAGAGGUCUGAGGAAGAUUCAUGAACAACAAACGUUAUAAUUGAUACCGAUAAGAUGUCUAGCAAGUUGAAUUAUGCAAAAGGUCGUCAGAGCAACAACUAAUGUUCCUUUUAGAUAUAGAACAGAUUCAGACAAAAGACUACCUAGACAAGACAUCUAAUAGUACAUGCAAUAGACCCGGGUACUUAAAAAUUGAAGAAAAUAGCAAUUUAGCUGGCAAAGAUUCAUCAGCAGGAAUGUAAUAAUUUACUCAACAAUGCCAUGAAAAGUCAAUUAAAUGAAUAAAUUGCUAUAUGUGAUGAUUGCUAUAUCAUUGUUCGGAUCUCCCUUCAACACCAUUAGCUUGUCACUAAAAUCUAGAUCAACACCCUCAAUCCUAGCCACUCAUUCCAAACAAAGGUCUAGAAAAAGAAAAGAGAAGACACUUCAUACCAUUUUCCUUGACUCUUGAAUAACGGAAGCAAGGCUUCGACAGCCCAUGUCGGUCUGCACAGGGUGAAACACACUGUGUCGAUAGGCCACUCUUAAAUAAAUCCAGAUAUAUCUGAUUAAUCCACCUUACUUUUUUUUUUGCUUCUUAUGUGAAAUGAGACAAAGUGCUUCUUAAAGCCUAAUUCUCAACUCUCCGUUGAAGAACAGCCUAAAAUAUACAGCACGCGACAGCAUGGAUGCAUGCUUCACCACGUGCCACAGCACGUACAUGCUGACAUAUGACCUACAUGCCUACAUAGCACUGCAUGGCAGACCUUGUGGAGAAAGAUAACAACUAAAUAAAUUUGUCUUCUUCUCUAACAACUGAACUUGAAUGGAAAUGAAACUCAACCUCAUAUAAGACAAAAUGAAAAAGAUAAAGGUUAUAUUGUAAUUUUUUUUUUUUUUACUGCCCCAAGUCAGAAGAACUAUUUUCUGGUUCAUGCAGUUACUGAAGAGAUAUACGUAAACGCUAGAUCCAGUCCCUAUUAACUUUAGUGAAGCAUCCAUUUACGUAUAACACAUGUCACUUUGUGCACUUUUGAUGAAGAAAAGUUUUGUUCAAGGGGGCACAAUAGAAAUUUUGAGAACAUUAAGCUUGCUCAUUACUAUUACUAGCAUUAGGAGAAUAAGUAAUCAAGCUAUAACAUUAAGAUACCAACAUUAAAAACAAAUAGACAAGAACAAAGCCCUAUCAAGUUUUGAACGACACGCAAUUCACAGAGUCACAUCCCAAAAGUAGCUAACUUUUUCACAAUUGGCUAAACUACCUGUUUUCUAAUUCUACUAUAACAAUCAAGUUACCACAAAAUCCCAAGCUAACAUAGCAAACUAUAAACACCACUUAUGAGGAAAUCUCCAGCAAAGUAAUUUCCAGAUUCGUGUAUACUUCCUCCUUCGUAGUUCUACAAAUUUCAGUCCCCACUCCCCGGAAAUCCCAAUCAUCACUAAUACAAACUCAAUCACAAAGGAAAUAGGGUUGAACAGAGAGGACAGAUAUAUACCUCUUGUAUACCUCUCCGAAGGUUCCGCCCCAAAGGCGCUUUCGGAAUAGGCCAUCGGCGCACUGGUGGCCCUCCCAGAGCUCGAGCCCCCCGGUGACGAUGCCGGGGACGAACACCACCGGGUGCUUCGCCUUGAGCCCCUCCUUUUGGAGCUUCACCCCGGGGGGGUCCGGUAACGGCCCGGUGAUCGCCUCGGUCACGUACUGCGGGAACGACGCGGGCAUGGCGUUGUAGAGGAAGAGGAGAAGCCACCACACGGAGCAGAUGCACCCGAUCAACCAACAGCAGCUAUCCACGCACGACCACCUCUGCCCCUUCGUCGCCUUCGCCCUCGCCCUCUCCUUCUCCUUCGAGGGCUCGGCGACCUCCGCCCUCGCCGGAGACUGCGGCGCCGCCGGCGGAGGCGGGGGUGCCUGCUUCUCGGCGGAGUCGGAGGGCUUCCUCCGCCGCAGCAUCGACAUCGCCGCCGCUCGGAAGGUGGGGGGCCGCGGCGGAACCCUAGCGCUCACCGAGUGUUUCGAAACCCUAACCCUAACCCUAGGGAGAAGGAGGAGGAGGGAGACGGGAAGAGGCCGCGCUGGUUUCGCGGAACUCCGGUUCCGUCGGGAGCUUGAGAGAGAGAGAGAGAGAGAGAGGGGGGGAGGGGAGGAAAAAAAAUAUAUCAGAGAAAGAGGGGGGGAAGUGAAAGUAUCGACGUGUCGUCGUCGUCGGACACGUGGCAGGAAUCUAGAGGCUUCUGAUCGGAAUCUGGUGGGGCCAGCUGUGAGCCGACGAUCAGGAUCAGCUGUAACGUGCCAACCAGCGCUCUCAUUCGAACGGCAGUGUUGACUACCGAACCAACGUGGGAAACCGUGGACCGGGUCUAUAGACCGGGUUCUCCAAAAACACAAAACUAAUGCGCAAAUAGUAAUGUUGGUCCCCAAACUACAAGCCGAGUGAUGCUUUCCUCCUUCAAUUUUAAUUUAUUAUAAUUUUUAGGUAAAAUUUUCUAGAUUGUUAUUAUGCAAUGCAAUUUAGUUACCUAAACAAUAAUACGUUAUUGAUGUGAUAAUGAUAUAGGAAUAUUAUAGUUUAUGAUAUGAAAAUAAUAAAAAUGUCACACUGCUGCUAUAUCAGUAAUGUAUCAUUAUUAUAACAAUAAAAUUGUAUGGUAUGAUUCAAUUACAACAAUAUAUAAGUUCGAAUCACAAACUAUAGCAAAUUAAAGUUCUAGAAUUAAAAUGUCAUGUGUUUUAUAGUUUAAGGACAAAAGGUGCAAUUUACCCAAAUAAUAACACCAAAUUAAGUAGCAACAAAUGGGAGAUGAUUUUAGCGGAUCUAAAAUUAUUAGUAAUGAGCACAUUUCCUUGGAUUUAAUCAAACUAAAUUGAUUGAUUUGACAAAACUGAUUUGCUUCUAACAAACUCAAAUAGGUAUACCCCACUUCAGGGCAUAUCAGUAGCAUUACUCUAUGGUUAUUUGGAUAAUAACACUUUUGGUCCUCAAAUUAUGAGACGCAUGAUAUUUGAUCCUCAAAUUUUAAUUUCUUAUAAUUUUUUACUCGAAUUUUUUGAAUUAUUUAGAUUAAGUUCCACAAUCCAAUUUAGAUUGGCCAAAUAUUAAUAAAUGGCUAAAUUACAGAAAACCCUCUGCUAAAAUCUGAUUUUUCACUUUUCCCUUCCUGUCAUUUAAAAAUCUAUACUUUGUUCUCUUAUAAAAUGAAAAAUGUUUACUUUACUCCCUACCAUUAGUGAUCCGUUAGAGUUCCGUUAUAAAAUAUUUUUUUAUAUCGAAAAUACUCUCCGCCCUCUCUACUGUUGCUUCGCCCUCCAACGCCUUGCCGCCUUGCCCUCACCUACAUCUCCGUCCGCGCCUAUAAUGUAGUGUUCUAGAGUUUUGGAUAGGAUUGGCUUCAGUGUUAGUGACUGGUCGACACAUCUGAAGAGUGUCGGACUGAGUCGGAGUCGUUUCUACGUGAAAUGGGUGCAAAAAUGGACUCAGCGCACUCAAAUAGGCAAAACUGAAGUUUUGCCAGUUUAGGGCGCCCAGAACUUGGUUUAGGGCGCCCAGAUCUUGAGUGCUGAUUUGAGCAAAAUUGGAAGCCAAUUCGGAUCCUAUUCUGGGCGCCCAGAAGUGGGUCCAGAAGUUUACUUUGGAAAUAUCGCUGGCGUUGACACGUGUUUGUGGUAGGUGAGGUCCGCCGGAUCAAGAUAAGGGUGCAGCACACCGUGGGCGGAGGAACUGAAGAGGGCUGUUUGUGCAGGCUGGAAGUUCUGGGCGCCCAGAACUUGAUUUAGGGCGCCCAGAACUUGCUUUUUCUGCAGCAGUGUAGGUUUGUAUCUAAUGUUCCUAAGGCUUAUAUGACCAUUUAAUAACCCUAUAAAUAGGUGGGAGACGCCCCUGGUAAGCUCUUUUCCUCUCUUUCUCACAGGGAAACUUACAAUUGCAUUCCAACCCCUCCAAAUCACUCAAAUUGCAUCAAAAGUCCACAACUUCAACUUGAGGAGUGCUGAUUCUGCAGUUUUCCAGCGACGACCUUCAGUGCUUUAGCUCGUGUGCGACGUAGGAAAGCCGGAUUGCGGUGAAACUUGGUUUGUUGGAUUCUAGACUUCAAGAGGAAUCCACGAAAUCCAAUAUUGCAGAUUUUGGUGAAGGUUAGCUUGGUCGAACUCAAAUUCUUCUCUACUGCUGUUGUUUUGGGCAGAUUUCUUUGAUGCUAUCUUUGGAGGCAGGGGGAUUUUGGAUCUGAGAUUAAUACUCCAUCAUUAUUCAUUGGAUUUGAAACUUGCCUCACUUGAAUUAGAGAUUAUUAGGUGAGUUUUGACAUUGGAGUUGAGACAAAUUAAGCUUAAGUGCUGAAAUUUGGUGAAUUGAUGGAUUUUGAUGGAUUUUGGGUGUAGAUCCUUCGAGUAGCUUUGUUGCUAGUUGUGGGUGAUCUCGGCUGAGGCUUCCAGCAAUUCGUGACCUUCUUGCUGCCAGAAAAUUGCACUAAAGGUGGGUGUUUCAUCGGUUUCGCUCCAUAAGUGCUUGUAGUCGACAUGUAUGAUUUCGGUUCUUGUAUAUCAUGUUGUAGCUCAAAUUCAUUGAUUGUAACAUGUAUGAAAUCUGAAUUGGGAGCAUGACUAUUAAUUAGAUGAAUAUACAUGUUGGAUUUGGAACUUGACUUAGGAGAAAACCAGCGAUUCGACCUGUCAUAUGAUUCUACUACCUGAUUUAGCUCUAGGAGCCGUGGUUUGAUUGUAUCACUGCUGUUUCAGCGCGGUGGAUAUCCGGGGUAGUUUAGAAUGUAUUUACGCUCGUGCUGGGAUGCCGAGCUUAUUUUUACAGCAGAGUCUAGGCUGUUUCAGAUUGUCGGGUGCCGUCGGGGUGGACGGUGGACCCAGAUUUCUGUUUUUGGUCUCAGAUUGUGCCGAGGGCACGUGGUUUGGUUUUUAGACCUGUUUUGACCCUAGCUACUUGACUUUGGCUUGUUAGAGCCUGAUUGAGCUCGACAGAGAUACGCUGCAUACUCGGUUGGUAGCUCCCACGAGUGCCACUCCGGAGAUGGGCGCUGUACUUUUGCGUUGGUAUCGUUCGUGCAGGUUGGACUUGCUCUCCACAGACUGGUUAGUGUGGAGGUAGCUGUAUAGUCGCAACCGGGCGGGACGGGUGUGUUCACAGUCCCAUGGACGGGUAGGAUUACAGUCCUUAUUUGAGAUUGGGUCUGAGUUGACACUGUUCUACAGAUGGUUAGAUUUAGAACAUGAUAGUAUAGUGGCAUAUAGCUGUAGAUUUGUUCCAACUUUCUUUACUAUUCCUGCUAUCCCUGUAGACUUAGUAGGUGGACUGAUGAGUUUGAGGGCGGUACCCACUAAGGACUACUUGUUUUUACAGUAGUUCUCACGCCCAGUUGUUACCACUGUUUUUGUAGAGCCGUCGCCUUCGGCUGCUGCUGUUGCUGAUCUUGAUCGUGGCAAGGGCAUCGCGAGUUAGAGCCCUUCCAGUCGAGUCACAGAGCUAGAGGAGCACCAGCUACAGAUAGUUGUAGUUUUUAGGUCUUUACAUAUAGUUGUUGUUUCUUGCUAGAGCGAGUAUUUGUAUACCUUGGAUGACAUGUAUGUAUUGAACCACAGUUUUUUUAUAUGGUUUAUUUUUCUAGCUGCUCUAUACUACUGUUUGUAGUAUUGUACAAUUACAGGUACUUCUACUUUUUCGCUUCGUAUACAAAAAAAAUAUCUAUGCAUACGGCAGGUCUGUUAGCGAGCCCGGGGGAACGGGUAAUCCGGGGCGUGACACAUAAACACCCUCUUUACCCUCCUCCGCCGCCUCGCCUUCACCCUCGUUACCUUUGCCCACCUCUCCAUCCACAUCCACAUCGAUUUCCUCCCUACUGUCGCCAAAAUAGAGAGGCGACGAGGGUACAGAAGAAGAAAAUGAGCAAAUGGAGAAGAAAAUAGAGAGGAACUUCGGCCGAUCGAGGCGGCGGAAAAGCAAGAUGAGAGAGAAGACGAAAAAGGUGAGGGGCAAAAUGAUCAUUUUGUCAUCACAGUUCACACCGUACCCCCUGUAAACAUUUUUCAUUUUAUAAGGAGCCAAGGUGUAGAUUUUUAAAUGACAAGAGGGGAAGUGAAAAAUCGAAUUUUGACAUAAGAGUUUUACGUAAUUUAGCCUUAAUAAAUUGUUGAUGUAAAAAUGAUAUAGCAUCUUAAUUAUUAUUGCAUUAUCAAUCACAACACUUCAUAUCACUUGUAUAUUAAUAAUUUGUCAAUAUUUAGCCAAUUAAAUAAGAUUAUAAAACUUAAUUGUAAUUGUUGUCGCAUUUUUAUUUUUAUUAUUAAAUGUGAAUUUUAAUUUUUAUAACCCUCGCAUGAAGAUGACAUAAUCUAUACUCUAACAUUUAUGGUUACAAAAUGCAUUCACUUAACUUGCAUUCAUUCGUACAACCAUGAGAUCUAACGUGUAUAUUUAGUGCUCCUGCCGUUCUCUUCCACUCCUAUAACUCUUCACCAUUUAACUCUUGUAACUUUCACAUUUAUUUAGAAAGUUAAUAUCAUAUAACUUCUAAUUCUAUGAGCCUACAUAUAUAGUGUGCAUUUCGUUCUUUGAAACGAUGAAAAAAACAAUAAGUUAUUUCUAUUCUUGUGAGAGAGAGAAGGCCAAAGAAACGUGUUUUUUUUUGUGGAAUUUUGGGCUCAUCUACUUGUGUAAAGUUGAUAUAUGAAACCACACAACGAGUGUCGAAUCAUUGUAUCCCGAAGGGAACAAGUCAGUGCUCUACUGCAUCGGUUCAAAGGCUUUGCCAAACGCAGAGAGUUUAAAUCUCCUUAAAGAGAGCGAGAUUUUCGUGUCUCAGUUUGAUCAACUCGUUUAUACUUUUUAUAUUAUUUUGUAGUUAAUUUUUAUUUUUUGAAUAUAUACACCAACAGUAAUAGUUUAAAACUAGUGUAGAGAUCCGCGCGAUGCGGCGGGUAGAUAAUAGAAAUAAAAUUUUAAAUUUUUUUUGAGAUAAAAAAUUGUAGUGAAAAUUAAAAUUUUAAAAUGUACAUGUGUCCAUGGUGGCGAGGGGCGGCGAGGCGACAUUUGACGCGGUCGAGAAGGAAGCGGGCGACGCCAACGUCGAGGUCGGAGGAGGAGGGCGGCGGCGGCGGAGGCGAAGAGGUAAAGGAAGAAGGCGAUGUUGCAUGCGGCGGUGGCAGACGCAAGAUGGGAGGUUUGAGAAAGAGAGCGGCGGGAAGUUGAGGGGACGCGGGAUGGGAGGAGAGAGAGAGAGGAUGAAAGCAAAAUUAUAGGAUCAAAAUAUUUAGGAGUUACUAUAUAUGUAACUUGAAAUAAUUUUAAAAAUGAAUGAGAUUUAAAAAAUAUAAAUAAUAGAAUUAAUGUUACAGUUACUCAAUAAGAUAUAGUUUUAGAAAGAAAGUUGGUGGGUCAUUAAAUAGUAACAAAUAAUAAAUUAAUUUGUAAAAUAUAAUGAGAAAAAAUAUGAAAAGGCUAUUCUUAGUCAGAAAUGACAACAACUAUAUAUGGAGCCUAUUUUGAAAAUGAGAGAUGGACCAUAUUUGGUAUAAUUUGACAAUUAAUUAUCAUAGUUUAUAAUAAUUGAUCAAGCAAUUAUGAGGAACCGUUUUCUAAUUUAGAAGGUUAAUUGCUAAUAGAAACAACUAGUAUGAAUUUGACAAUUAAUUAUCAUAGUUUAUAAUAAUUAAUCAAGUAAUUAUGAGGAACCGUUUUCUAAUUUAAAAAAUUAAUUGCUAAUAGAAACAGCUAGUAUGAAAUGUAGAUGGUUAUGUAGAAUUUGAAAUGCAAAUUAAAAAAAUUUUCUAAAAAAGGAAGUCAUGCCACCUCAGCUUUUGUUAUUAGGGAUCAAUAAAAAGUAAUAGAUAUUCGAAUUAGAAAUUACAAUAAAAGAAAAUUCAAAGAUCAAAAUGUCACACUCACGAUAAUUUGAGGACCAAAAAUGUAAUUUAUACUUUCUAUGUUUUUUUUAACUUUAGAUUAUCAUAUUGCCUUCUAUGUAACUCACGGUCUGAUGUGGUAUUAAUUGACAAGUUACUAAUUUUACAUUUAUAGAGAUGAAAUUUUCAAACCUAAAAACCUUUAAUAUUGAUAUGUACAAUUAAAUCUAUUAUUUGUAUGAUUUGUUAGGAAAAAUUCAUAAUUUAUCAACAUGUUAUUUGGGUAUUAAUAAGUCUAAAAAAAAUAUGGCAAGUUAAGAACUUUAUAAUCAACCACACAAGAAAAAGAUCAGGAAAAAAUUGAUGUUUACUUUCGAGUAAAUCUCCUAAGUGUGAUAAAUUAUAUUUAGAAAUUUAAAUGCGAAAAUAUGCUAGCUAGCAAUAGAUUUUUUAAUUUUUGUCAUUAUUGGUUAACUUAUAGUAUGUUUUUUUGAUUAGGUAAAGAUAACAAUUUCUUAUAAAGCAAUCAAACCAAAAAAAAAAAAGAAAAGAAGCUAGAGAGAUUACAACUUUCUCACCUGUUUGAGCUGCAAACAAAGAAUUUUAAAACAAAUGCGAACAAGCAUUCCAUUUUCCACUCUCACACUCUUGUUUUAAUUUAAUUCAACUAAACAAAAAAUAAUACUAAUUGAUUGCUUAUGCUUAAGGGUUUGUUUAGUUUCCAAAAAAUAUUUCAUAAAAUAGUUUUCUAACUGAAAUAAUAUUUUUCAUCCGUUUGCUUCUUAGAAAUGUAGUUUUUUUUUUUUUUGAAAAAAUCAGAUUUUAUAAAAAAAAAAACGAUUACUUUAAUUUUUAAAUUUUUUUAUACAGAAAAUAAAAACUGCAAAAAAAAAUAAGUUUGAUAAAAUAAAUUUCAAAAAAUUACUCUUUAUAUUUUUUUUGAAGAACAUGUACCCUCGAUCCACAAAACACGUACGUUCCAGGACGUUCGUAGGCACUAAUGAAGUGCCACGUCAUCUAAGCGGGCAAUUAAAAGCGGGUCUAGGGCGACGCAGCGAAUGAGAGCGUUUCUUCGCGGCACGGGCCCACCGCGGUGUAUGAGUAGUAUACGACUUAGUUUGGAAUUACAUAAAGAUUACGUUACGGGCUGUAAAAAAAUACAUUAGAAAAAUAUUCUAUUUAUUUCUGUAUAUAAUAUUACAUUCAGCAUAUCACGAUCAGUCAGUUACGAUAUAUACAUUAGCAUCUUUAUUCUCGUAUCCGUUUCGAAAAGCGUGCUAUGAAAGUGGGCCUGAUGUUGACUGUAUUUACGUGAAUUGCCACGGAAUGGAGGGUCGAGGUGACGUGUCGCCAGGGACAGGAACGCUGGAACGGCGCGUAACGGUUCGGGCGCGGACAAGUACGCGGUAACGGCGCGUAAUGGGUCGGGCGCGCCGCCGCUGAACGACACCGGGGAACGGGAAAAAGUGAACGGAAAUGUACGGCCAACGGGUUACGGUUGUUAAAGUGCAUCCACAACGUUCGACAAACACGGCAGUUUUGCUAUAAAUGACUAAUUGCAUAUUAAAUACAACAAUUUUGAAUACAACUUUUUGUAUUAUUCAAAAAAAAAUAAAUGUAUUUAUAUUUCAUACUGAAAAUUAUAUGUCAAAUAAUGUAUACCUAAUUAAGAGCAAGAAUUUAAGUAUCGUGAAACGAAAUCGUGUCAAAAAUUUACUGGCGCUGUAUAGUGUAGUGCGUGUCAGACGGUGCCGAUGUGUGCCGGUUAUAAAAAUACAUGUGUGCCGAUAUAUAAUUACAUACAAUGUUUAUUUUUUAAAAAAAUAAAAUAUUUUAAUUGCUUAUAAUAUAUAUUUGUUAAGUAGUUUGAAUUUUAUUAAAAAAACUACUUACUGUCACGCCCCGGAUGUCUCGUUCCCCGGGCACGCCGACAAAUCCGCCGUAUACAAAGAAAUUUUUCCUGUAUACUACAAAAAAAUUUUUCCUGUAUACGAAGCGACAGCUGUACCUGUAAACAUACAAUACUACAAACAAUAAUAUAGAGCUGCUCGAAUAAACAUAAGCUAAACGAACUGAGCUUCAUAUACAUAGUUCAAAAAUCAAAAUACAGAGUCACUCGCACUGGCGAGUUAAGUACUAUGUACAUAAGCUCGAAAUAAAACAACUACCUGCAGUAGGGUGCCUCUAGCUCUGCUCGGCGGGGAGGGCUCUAACUCACGACGCCCUUACCUCGAUCCUGAUCCGCGGAAGGCGCAGUAGCAGAAACCUGUGGCUCUGUAAAACAGGGGUAACAACUGGGCGUGAGAACUACUGUACAAACAAGUAGUACUCAGUGGGUACCGCCCAAAACAAAUAUCGGUCCACCCACUAAGUCUACAGAAAGGAGCAAGAAUAGUCGGAAAAGCAGGAAGUAAACUCUACCGCUAUCAAUCACUACACUAUCAUGCUAUACAUUAACCAACUGUAGGAAAUGUCAAAACUGACCCAAUCCAAUCGGGACUGUAAACCUACCCGUCCCUGGGACUGUGAAUACACCCGUCCCUGCCCAGUUACGACUAUCCAGCUACCUCCACACUAACUGGUCCGUGGAGAGCAAGUCCAACCGGUAUGAGCGACACCAACGCAAAAGUACAAAGCCCAUCUCCGGAGUGGCACUCGUGGGCGCUACCCAACCGAGUAUGCAGCGUAUCUCUGUCGAGCUCAAUCAGGCUCUGUCAAGCCAAAGUCCAAGUAACCGACUCUAACUGGUCUAACAACCAACAAGUAAUGUGCCCACGGCACCAUCUGACGCCAAAACGGCGAACCGAGCCCACCGUCAACCCCAAUAGCGCCCAAAAGUCCGAAACAGCCCAAACGACCCUGUAAAAAUCCACUCGGCGUACCAGCACGAGCGUAAAUGUAUGCUAAACUACCUGGAGUACUCGUCUCGAGGAUACUACGACAGUACAAUUUUAUAACGGCUCCUAGAGCUAAAUCAGGCAGUUUAAACAAGUGACAUGUCCAAAUCGCAGGUUUUCUCGUAAUUCAAAUUCUAAGUCCCACAUGUAUAACCUACUCAAUUUAUUACCACAUGCUCCAAAUUCAGAUUUGCAAUCUACCAUAUAAUCCAUGAAUUCGAGCUAGAAUAGAUUAUCCAAAAUCGAAAUCUAUAUAUGUCGACAAUUAUGAACUUAGGAGUAAAACCGAUGUAAACUCACCUCAAAGCUAAUUCCUGGCAGCACGGAACUCCCUUGGCUGCGGCACAACCUGCUGGAUCGACUAAAAAUGUCCGAGUCUCGAAAUCAAGCUAUCUCCAAGCUAUCAACAUCGAAAAUCCACAAUUCAGUCCAAAUACACAGCAGCAGAGAAGAGAAGGGUUUCGACCAAGCUAACCUUUACUAAAAUCCACAAGUAAGGGUUUCGUGGAUUCCUCUCGCAGUCCCGAAUCCAAUGAACCAAGUCUCGUCGCAAACCGAUGCUCCUACGUCGAGUACGAGCUGAAAUACUAACAGUCAACGAUGAAUUUCAGCAAACAACACUUAAGCUCGAAUUAAUGAUGCUUGGAGAAAUGAUGAAGCAAUUCGACGGAACAUUCACCUCGACAGUGACUAGCACCGGCGUGACGCCAAGAACAGCAAAGUCGCACCCUCGCCCGGCCUCCUCGCACUGCUCCGGCAACAAUCGUAUCCCCAAACGGCUCCGCGGCGCGACGUCGGCGACGAAUCCGAGCUUCUUCCUUGCCUUCAACCGGAUGAGAGUGAGAGAGAAAUGAAGAAAUGCAGCAAGAGAACUUCUCUCUCUCUACACGAAGCUAUAUAGAGAGAAGGUGUGUUGGUGAUACAAACGAGGGAGGGAAUUACCUAAAUAGCCCUCUACUUACCUCCUUGUACCGGUACACGGGCUCCUGUAUCGGUACAAGGGCCAACCCGAGAGCAGCUAAACCAGUGCACGCUGGUUGUACCGGUACAGCCACGCUGGUUGUACCGGUACAGCAAGCAAAGAAUUCUGCUGUUUUGCAGAAUUCUUCGCGAUAAGCUGCCCUCGCAUCGCACGGAGUCCGUUUUGCGUCUAUUUGACGCCAACGCAACUCGGACUUGUCCCGACACUCUCCAAAGCUGCCGACAAGCCGCCACAACAGAACACCAGGGAUCUCACACUUACUAAUUUAAAGAAAAAGGCAUUUUGGUAUGUGCCAUCGGUACGGAGAUUAUAUCAUGUCGAUAUCUUGUUAACACAAUACGGCACGGCAGAUACGAUAUAUUUUGAUGGGCACUUAAAUUCUUGAUUAAGAAGAUAAAGUACAUUUUAGCAAUUAUAUAUUCAAGUUUUUAAGUAUUAAACAAGAUUCGGAUUUUAAUGUGUUGGUGAUAUCUUUACAGCACAGUUUAUUAUUUUGGUUAAAAGCAAGGAUUUAAGUGCCGUGACACGGUGUCGUGGCGGAAACUUGCAAGUACGGUACAGCACGGUACGUGCUAAGCCGUGCCGAUGCUUGUCGAUCAAAAAAAUUCUUGUGUGCCGAUACAUAAUAGCAUGAAAUAUUUAUUUUUUUUAGCAAUAAAAUAUUCUAACUAUUUAUUAUGUCUUUUUAUCAUAUCUUUUGAACUUUAUUGAAGAAAUUACUUACUAAUUUAAAAAAUAGAGGGUUUUAAGUUGUGCCGUCGAUACGGGCUCUGUAUCGUGCAAGUAUCUUGUUGGUACGGUACAGUAUGGUGAAUACGGUCUGUGCCGACGGGUACUUAAAAUCUUGAUUAAAAGUGUUUUUGCAAGGGAAGCUCCCAGCAAAUUUACACAAAGUAUCAGAACAUGGUAGUAGCGCUUCUCCCGAAAGCAGAUUCGGGUGACACAUUAAUGAAAGUACCCAUCAAUUAGAAAAAGUUCCUUUGCAGAAGAAGCUACUAGAAAGUAGAAGCUUACUUGAAUAUUGUGCUAUCUCAACAGUCUCAAAUUGAAUAAUAUAAAAAAUAUAUAAUAAAUUUAUAAGCAACGGACACAUUAAUAAUAAUAACUGAGUUACCGACCGUCCCUAGAGCAAAUAGCAAAGAGCUUGGUGGUUGAUACGCGAGACCCAAAUUCGAAUCCUAGUUGAUUCACAUUUCCAGCUAAAUUUAUUUCUAAAUGAAAUAAACGAAACGAGUAACGUGCUACCUAUCUCUGAAAAAAAAAUAGGCUAAAUUACAGAAAACCCCCCUGUAAUAACCCGCUUUUUCACUUUCCCCCCUGACAUUUAAAAACCUACACUUUGCCCCCUUGUAAAAUGAAAAAUGUGCACUUCACCCCUACCGUUAGGGUUCCGUUAGGGGUUCUGUUAAAAAAUAUUUUUUUAUACCGAAAAUACCCCUCUGCCUCUUCUCUGAUGCUUCGCUCCCUCCAGCUCGCCGCUUCGCCGCCUCGCGGCCUCGCCGCUUCGCCGUCCUCCACUGCUUCGCGCUCGCCCACAUCCCUUUCGUUCUCCUCCGCCACCUCGCCUUCGCCCUCGUUGUCCCUGCCUACCUCUCCAUCAACACCCAUCUUAGUAUCCUCCCUACUGUCGCCGAAAUCGAUGGGCGGCGACGGUGUAGGAGGAGAAGGGGAGCAGGUGGAGAAGAAAUUGGAGAGGAAUCGUGGCCGAUUGAGGUGGAAAUAGCGGCGGAUCGAAGGGGCGGCUGAGGAAGCUCAGGAAGAAGACAACAAUGGCGAGGGGCAAAAUGGUCAUUUUACACACCGUGACCCCCCUGUGAACAUUUUUCAUUUUACAAGGGGGCAAAGUGUAGGUUUUUAAAUGUUAGGGGGGGAAAGUGAAAAAGCGGGUUAUUACAGGAGGGUUUUCUGUAAUUUAGCCAAAAAAAUAAUAACUGAGUUUAAUUAUUUUAAGUCGGUGGUUUAGAUCCAACGAGUUAUUAUUACUGGCGUGUCCGAUUAUCGUUUGAUAAAUUUGAAACUAUGUGUAUUAUUGGAUUGGACUGACGAGAAUGUGAGGCCCAAUGAGUUAUUAUUAUUAGCGGGAGAAAUCAUUACAAAUAUAAUAAUUAACUAUCUUCAUAUGUGUAUAUUUGUGUAUUUGUUGAUAAUAUUAACAUUUUUGUCCGUGCAGGUGUAGCUGAGAUUUCUAAUUUUUCUGAGGCUCCACUUGAACAUGAUUUAUCAAUAACACAAUAAAAAGUAAAUUUAAGUAGUGAUGAAAAGCGUUAGCAAAUCUAUAUCCAUACUGCUUAUAAAAAAGAGAGCUCUAAUAUCAAUUUUUUUUUUUUUUUCAAAAUACCGCUCUCUAUAAAAAUAAUGUAUAUAUUACAAUUGUACAAGUUUUAUUUUUAUUUUGGAAAAUACAUUAACUCGUAGUAAUUGGAUCUUAUCCAAUAGCCAACACAUCUAAGUAUCUUUUAUUUUUUUAUACCUAAAUUGCCCUUAAGCUUGUAUAAAGGCCCUCUCAACCAUAGGCCAUCACCAAAUAACUCUUAAACUUUAUACUUUUUAUUAACAAAAAUUUUAAUUUUGAUUAUAAAAUUAUUUAAUUUUAAACUUUACAAUUAAAAUUUUUAUCAAAUUCAUUAAUAAUUCUUUAGUAUUUAAUUAGUCAAUAAUCAUUACAUUUUACAAACUUUUUAAAUUAUUUGGAAUAACUUAAAUAAAAAGUUGAGGAGCUUUUUUUUCUUUAAAUGUUCCAUAGUUGAGGCUUUUUAGCACCUUUUAUUUAAAACUCUCAAAAUUUUCGUUUGUAGUCAUUUUUUUUAUUUUAAAAAAGAAUGGCUUUAUCUUGUUGCCAUUUUCUCUUUAUUAAAAAAAGCUAUAUAUAUAUAUAUAUUUGAGUAUAAAUAAGAAAAUUUAAGUAUGUUAAAUAAGAGCUUCAUGAAAUCCGAAUCCAAACCCGAACCCAAAAAUUCAAACCCGAAAUAAUUAUUUUUCUUUUCAAUAUUUCAAAAUAUAUUGUAUUAAAUCUAAAUUUUUAAAAUACAAAUUUAAACAUAACAUCAAUUUUUUAUAUACAUAUUAUAUAUAAUAUAAAAUAAAUUCGGGUUCAGGCCAGGUUCAAGUCGAGUUCGAGCUCUGAUUGGGUACAAUCAAAAUUUAUAUCCGAAAUCGUAUCCGUCGGGUUUUAUUUUUGAUAUUCAUGUCUGAAAUCAUAUUCAUUUAGCAUCAAAUAAAUUUGCUCUGUUCGAAUUCGAAUUCAGAUAAAAUUUUGGAUAUCUUGUCUGGCAUCGGCAGCCAUGCCUAGCUAGUUCUAGAAGCAUGUACUGUCUUCGGGUGAGAGAUCAUACAGAAGAAACGGAGAAUGGACAAAACAAAAGCGCUUAAUUUGGUGUGUAGUGCUUUUUUUCAAAAAAGUUAUAAAGAAAAAGUCAAAAUUCUUAUAAACUGUGGGUACAAUUGACCGCAAGGUUUUCCUUAAUAGACGUGACCCUCACGAGUUCACUUUUUUUUUUUAAGAGUUAUAAGUAGCACGACAUCCGCUUCGUUUAUUUUAUUUAGAAAUAAAUUUAACUAAAAAUGUGAAUUAAUUAGCAUUCUAACUUGAGAACUCGGGUAUCAACAAUCAAAUUCUUUGCCACUUGCUCCAGGAACAGUCGGUACGAGUUCACAUUUCACCCCUAAUAAAAGAGUGUUUAUCAAAAUGCAAUGCACAAAACAUACUGGCGCAUAGGCCUGGCAAACGAGCGAGCCGGCUCGUGUUCGACUCGUGUUCGGCUCGAUAUUCGGCUCGCUCGAGCUCGACUCGAAAUUAAAUGAGCCGAGCUUGAACAAAAUAAAAGGCUCGAAAUUCAUUUCAAGCCGAGCUUGAGUAUUACUCGGCUCGUUCGAAUUAGGCUCGAAAAGCUCGAAAAGCUCGAAUAUAUAUAUAUAUAUAUAUAAUAUGUAUUUUAAUCAUAUAUAGGCUUUAAUUUAAUUUAGGCCAUUAUUGUUGGCCGAUAAAAUAAACCCAACAAGUACAACCGUGCAAUUGAGCCCAACUCUAAAUUUACAUAACACAUUCUCUCUUUCAGACUUUCACUGUUACACAUAACCCUAAAACAUGAUAACAUUCAAAUUCCCAAAUUCCUAAUAUUUUUCCUCCCUCUCUCUCUCUCUCUCUCUCUCUCUCUCUCUCUCUCACUCAGACCCUCAUCUAGUCAGGAAGUCACCCUAGCUCAUAUUUCUUACAAUUAUUUUGUAUUUUGAACUAUUGGACAUGUUGCAUCAAAUUGUAGGUAAUGUUCUAUAAAAAUUAAACUAUUGAUUAUAUAAUGUCGAGAAUUUCAAUCGGCUCGUUUAGAGCUCGAGCUCGGCUCGACUCGAAAUUAGGCUCGCUCGAGCUCGGCUCGAAUUAAUUUCAAGCCGAGCUUGAGCCUAGAUUUAGGCUCGAAAUUAAUUUCAAGCCGAAUUUGAGCUGACAUAAGCUCGCUCGAGCUCGGCUCGUUUCCACCCC